rnacentral:rRNA from 1 species
AAAAACAUGGCCUUUUGAUUAUAAUUUAAGGUCUAGCCUGCCCAAUGAGUGAGUCUUUAAUGGCCGCAGUAUUUUGACUGUGCAAAGGUAGCAUAAUCAAUAGUUUUUUAAUUGAAAGCUGGAAUGAAAGGUCUUAUGAGAAAAUAGCUGUCUCUGUUGAAAUUUUUUAGAACUUUAUUUUUAAGUUAAAAAGCUUAAAUGUAAAUAGAAGACGAGAAGACCCUGUAGAGUUUUAUAAUUUGUUAUAUGCAUUAUUUUAGUAUUUAUUAUUUUGUAUAUUUUAAAUUAUUUGGUUGGGGUGACUGGAAAAUUAACUAAACUUUUUCUUAUUAUUACAUUAAUAUAUGAGUAAAUGAUCCUUAUUUAAAGAUUAAAAGAUAAAAUUACCUUAGGGAUAACAGCGUAAUUUUUUUUGAGAGUUCUUAUCGAAAAAAAAGAUUGCGACCUCGAUGUUGGAUUAAAAUUUAUAUAUGGUGUAGAAGCUAUAUUAUUAGGUCUGUUCGACCUUUAAAAUUUUACUUGAUCUGAGUU